rnacentral:tRNA from 1 species
AGGCCUGUGGCUCAAUUGGUAGAGCAUCGGUCUCCAAAACCGAGGGUUGCAGGUUCGAGUCCUGUCGGGCCUG